UUCUUCAAAGAAGGUCACGGAACAAUUACACUACAGAUGGACGGAUCCAUAGGCAUGAAGCUUCUUCAAAGAAUAUCACCGAACAAUUGCAAUACAGGUCAAGACGAGUGUGGCAUUGUAGAUUCACGGAGUAGACAAAGUCACGGGCCAAGAAGAGUGUGACGUUGUAUUCUUGUGUUGUGUCAGU